AUGUGCUGUAGGAAACAUGAAACCUUAACGAUAGGGGGGAGGAAAGAAACAAGGAAACGGGUUUUAAGUAUUGAAGCUGGGCCUCAACAUUGCCUCCUUGUGCCCUGUGUUUUUAUGCUCGGUUGACCAUGCAACACUGAUGCUAAGCGUCACAUUGGAGCCACCAGGUCAAACUCUGGGACGUCAGAGGAGCCAAGUCAUCUCUGGCUUCCUGCCAAACCGCUUUCUCACCAGGCUGAGGCUGUGGAUGUGCCCCCUUUCAUCAACCAGCCACCCACCCACUCCAGAUCUUGUCCUCUCGGAUGGAGACACUCCCAAUUACAAUCUAGAAUUGUGCAAAGCCGCUGCCAUAGUUUAUAGUAAACUUAGUAGACAUAAGAACCUAAAGCUUCCCCACAGGGGUUCAAUUGUUCUAGACUAGCCCUGCGGAAUGGAUGGGGCUCUACCCAAGACCUGGUGCAGGCCUGAUCAUGGAAAGGAAUCAAAUGGAGAGCCUCACCUGUUUGGCUAAGAUAGUGCCAUGAUGACUGGAAGGUGUGGUUGAGUAAGGAGGGGAGCCCCACGUCCCGCAUCACCAGAGCGUCCUUCACCAAUGAGAGAGCCAUCGACAAGGUCCAGCUGUCCGGGUUCAACACUCGCUUCUAAUGAGGCCCCCUGAGCUGAAGAUUGCAAGAUCAAGACGCUUACAUGUAGCGAUAUGAUCACAAAUGUCCAUGUACUAGCUAUGUUUUUUUAUUUUUUAUUAACUUCUUAUUUGCGUAUUCGCAAAAUAUCAAGCUAUUUUGAAAAAGAUACUUGUGCAAAGUACAAUCUUUAUGUAAGCCCUCUUUUCAAAUAAUGGUAAUUUUCUCCUCUCCCCCACUUUUUCUGUCUAUUGUGGAGCUCCUCUGCUCUAUUCAGACACUGAAUGCUUUUUGUCAUCACAUUGAAUAACAUGAAUAACACACUGACAAGCUUUCCU